UACGAGUGCUCCAAGCGUUAUCCGGAAUUAUUGGGCGUAAAGGGUGUGUAGGCGGUUGUGUUAGUCUUUUGUUAAAUUCUUCGGCUUAACCGGGGGCAUGCGAAAGAAACGGCACAACUAGAGGAUGCGAGAGGUGAAGUGGAACUCAUGGAGUAGGGGUGAAAUCCGUUGAUAUCAUGGGGAACACCAAAAGCGAAGGCAAUUCACUGGCGCACCUCCUGACGCUGAAACACGAAAGCGUAGUAGCGAAUGGG
rnacentral:rRNA from 1 species